rnacentral:rRNA from 14 species
GAGGUGUUGGGUUAAGUCCCGCAACGAGCGCAACCCUCGCCUUCAGUUGCCAGCAUUUAGUUGGGCACUCUAAAGAAACUGCCCGUGAUAAGCGGGAGGAAGGUGUGGAUGACGUCAAGUCCUCAUGGCCCUUAUGGGUUGGGCUACACACGUGCUACAAUGGCGGCGACAGAGGGCAGCGACCCCGCGAGGGUGAGCUAAUCUCCAAAAGCCGUCUCAGUUCGGAUUGUUCUCUGCAACUCGAGAGCAUGAAGUCGGAAUCGCUAGUAAUCGCGUAUCAGCAUGACGCGGUGAAUACGUUCCCGGACCUUGUACACACCGCCCGUCACGUCAUGGAAGCCGGGAGUGCCCGAAGUCACCUUG